rnacentral:rRNA from 1 species
UACGUAGGGUGCGAGCGUUAAUCGGAAUUACUGGGCGUAAAGCGUGCGCAGGCGGUGAUGUAAGACCGAUGUGAAAUCCCCGGGCUUAACCUGGGAACUGCAUUGGUGACUGCAUUGCUGGAGUAUGGCAGAGGGGGGGUGGAAUUCCACGUGUAGCAGUGAAAUGCGUAGAGAUGUGGAGGAACACCGAUGGCGAAGGCAGCCCCCUGGGACCAAUACUGACGCUCAUGCACGAAAGCGUGGGGAGCAAACAGG